AUGAGGAUGAUAAUGAUGGCAAUGAGGGUGAUGAUGUGGAUGAAUAGGAUAUGGGUGGUAGUAAUAUUGAUGAUGAUGGUGAUGAUGAUAAGGCAGAUGUUGAGGAUGAAUAGGAUAUGGGUGGUAGUAAUAUUGAUGAUGAUAAGGCAGAUGUUGAGGAUGAAUAGGAUAUGGGUGGCAGUAAUAUUGAUGAUGAUGAUAAGGCAGAUGUUGAGGAUGAAUAGGAUAUGGGUGGUAGUAAUAUUGAUGAUAAGGCAGAUGUUGAGGAUGAAUAGGAUAUGGGUGGUAGUAAUAUUGAUGAUAAGGCAGAUGUUGAGGAUGAAUAGGAUAUGGGUGGCAGUAAUAUGGAUGAUGAUGAAAAUGAUGAUGUCCGAACUAUAA
rnacentral:lncRNA from 1 species